GGUUAAAAAGCUUUAAAGAAAGCAGGUAUUUUGAAAGUACAAGAAGGGGGUUAAAAUCCUCCAUUAACUU
rnacentral:tRNA from 1 species